rnacentral:rRNA from 1 species
AGUGGGUUGUACCAGAAGUAGAUAGCUUAACCUUUUGGAGGGCGUUUACCACGGUAUGAUUCAUGACUGGGGUGAAGUCGUAACAAGGUAACCGUAGGGGAACCUGCGGUUGGAUCACCUCCUUACC